ensembl:lncRNA
CACACACACACACACACACACACACACACACACACACACACACGGCCUGCACAGACCCGGCUUCGGUGCAGAAGGGCAGUCAGCCUGGUGAGGAAAAGGCCCUCCCAAUGUCAUUGCACGGCGUGCGCCCCCUCCCCCACUGUGCCCCCAACCCCUCCCCCACUGUGCCCCCAAUCCCCCCCCCAACGACAUUAGGAUCCCCCCCCUGGGCAGUGAUUCUUAUUGCUUAUACGGAGUGCAGCCAAUGUGGGGUCGGUGUAUGGAGAGGAGGGAAACGGAGCCCUAUAAGCGGAGGGUUCUUUGGGGGGUGGGAGGCUGUGGGGGCGCUGCGACCCAAUGAUGGGGUAGGGGGGGGUUGGGAGGGGUGGGGGCUGAGGCUGGGGAUGGUGGGGUGCCAACAGUGGGGCUGCCAUGGGGUCAACACCAACACCAUUGCAGUGCCAACGGUGGGGCUGCCAUAGGGUCAACAGUGGGACCACUGUGGUGCCAACAGUGGGGCUGCCAUGGGGUCAGCAGUGGGGCUGACAUUGUGCCAACAGUGGGGCUGCCAUGGGGUCAACACCAUCACCAUUGCAGUGCCAACAGUGGGACCAACAGUGGGACCACUGUGGUGCCAACAGUGGGGCUGCCAUGGGGUCAACACUGGGGCUGACAUUGUGCCAACAGUGGGGCUGCCAUGGGGUCAACAUUGGGACCACCAUGGUGCCAAUACUGGGGCCGCCAUGGGGUCAACACCAUCACCAUUGCAGUGCCAACAGUGGGGCUGCCAUGGGGUCAACACCAUCACCAUUGCAGUGCCAACAGUGGGACCAACAGUGGGACCACUGUGGUGCCAACAGUGGGGCUGCCAUGGGGUCAACACUGGGGCUGACAUUGUGCCAACAGUGGGGCUGCCAUCGGGUCAAUAUUGGGACCACUGUGGUGCCAACAGUGGGGCUGCCAUGGGGUCAACACCAUCACCAUUGCAGUGCCAACAGUGGGGCUGCCAUGGGGUCAACACUGGGGCUGACAUUGUGCCAACAGUGGGGCUGCCAUGGGGUCAACACCAUCACCAUUGCAGUGCCAACAGUGGGGCCAACAGUGGGACCACUGUGGUGCCAACAGUGGGGCUGCCAUGGGGUCAACACUGGGGCUGACAUUGUGCCAACAGUGGGGCUGCCAUGGGGUCAACAUUGGGACCACCAUGGUGCCAAUACUGGGGCCGCCAUGGGGUCAACACCAUCACCAUUGCAGUGCCAACAGUGGGACCAACAGUGGGACCACUGUGGUGCCAACAGUGGGGCUGCCAUGGGGUCAACACUGGGGCUGACAUUGUGCCAACAGUGGGGCUGCCAUGGGGUCAGCAGUGGGGCUGCCACUGUGCCAAGAGUGGGGCAGCAGUGGUUCGGGUCCUGGCAGUGGUUCGGGUCCUGGCAGGGAGCAGAGCUCCCGGGUUGUGAGAAGUGUGGGUGUGUCAGUGAGCAACGACGCGCAUUACCCACUAUGCACACAGACACAGACAUGUGUGCAUAUCCACAUACAUGUAUGUAUGCACGCACGCACACGUGUGCAUAUCUACAUCCAUACGUGUGUGCGCACGGCGGUGCUGCCCAAACCCGGAUCAGAUAAGACAGAAACAGAUGGAAAAGCAGCUCUGGAGUGGAGGGAUUCAGAGCCCUCCAUUUAUACCCACUGUGUGCGCAGCAUUUGGGCGCUCCCCACCCCAUAUAUGAACCCCGGGGCCGGGGGGACACAGCUCUGCCACCCCCAUUCCUGCACUGCACGGAGCUCCCAGCACAGCCCUCAGCCAGCACACAGCUGCGUCCCAGUAUGGAUCCAUCCCGUCCCAGUAUGGCUCCAUCACAUCCCAGUAUGGCUCCAUCCCGUCCCUGUAUGGAUCCGUCCCAUCCCAGUAUGGCUCCAUCCCAUCCCAGUAUGGCUCCAUCACAUCCCAGUAUGGCUCCGUCCCAUCCCAGUAUGGAUCCAUCCCAUCCCAGUAGGGAUCCAUCCCAUCCCAGUAUGGCUCCAUCCCAUCCCAGUAUAGAUCCAUCACAUCCCAGUAUGGCUCCGUCCCAUCCCAGUAUGGCUCCAUCACAUCCCGGUAUGGCUCUGUCCCAUCCCAGUAUGGCUCCAUCCUGUCCCAGUAUGGAUCCAUCCCAUCCCAGUAGGGAUCCAUCCCAGCCCAGUAUGGCUCCAUCACAUCCUGGUAUGGCUCCAUCCCGUCCCAGUAUGGAUCCAUCACAUCCCCAUAUGGAUCCAUCCCAGUAUGGCUCCAUCCCGUCCCAGUAGGGAUCCAUCCCAUCCCAGUAUGUCUCCAUCCCAUCCCAGUAUGGCUCCAUCCCGUCCCAGUAUGGCUUCAUCCUGUCCCAGUAUGGAUCCAUCCCGUCUCAGUAUGGAUCCCUCCCAUCCCAGUAUGGCUCUGUCCCAUCCCAGAAUGGAUCCAUCACAUCCCAGUAUGGAUCCAUCCCGUCCCAGUAUGGCUCCAUCCCAUCCCAGUAUGGAUCCAUCACAUCCCAGUAUGGAUCCAUCACAUCCCAGUAUGGCUCCAUCCCAUCCCAGUAUGGAUCCAUCACAUCCCAGUAUGUCUCCGUCCCGUCCCAGUAUGGAUCCAUCCCAUCCCAGUAUGGAUCCAUCCCAUCCCUCUCAUCCCAGUAUGGCUCUGUCCCAUCCCUGUAUGGAUCCAUCACAUCCCAGUAUGGCUCCGUCCCAUCCCAGUAUGGCUCCAUCACAUCCCAGUAUGGAUCUAUCCCGUCCCAGUAUGGCUCCAUCCCAUCCCAGUAUAGAUCCAUCCCAUCCCAGUAUGGCUCCGUCCCAUCCCAGUAUGGAUCCAUCACAUCCCAGUAUGGCUCCAUCCCAUCCCAGUAUGGCUCCAUCACAUCCCAGCACAGCAGAGCUCCCACUACAGAGCUCCUCUCCAUGCCAUUUCCAUCCCACCAUGGAGCUCCAUCCCAUCCCAUUUCUGUCCCAUCUCAGCACAGCUCCAUCCCAUCAUGAGUGCAGUCCCAACACAGAUACCCACCCCAGCACAGCCCCUCUCCAUCCCAGUUCCAUCCCAGUACGGAGCUCCAUCCCAGUACAGCAUCAGCCCACUGCAGAGCUCCUCUCCAUCCCACUUCCAUCCCAUCGUGGCGCUCCAUCCCAUCACAGCCCCAUCACAGCAGGCUCUGAUGCCAAACUCCAGCAGCUUCCCAGCAUUAUUUUCCCUCUGCUCUAAUUAAUAAUAAUAAUAACAAUAACAAUAAUAGCAACAAUAACAACAAUAAUCUUUUCAUUACAAAAAUCAGGAUUCGGAUGAGGACUACUUAUAUUUGAGGGGGGGGAAUAUUUACAGGCUGUAUGGACAAAUGAGGUUUUUAAAUUACAAAUUAAAUAGCAAUUAAAUAUUUCCUAUUAAACACUGCUUCUGUUCGAGCACACGACGAGGCAUCACUGGAUUCUCCGGGGAGGGGCAAUGGGGGCAUGGGGAUGGGGUGGGCACCCCGAGAUGGGGGAUGGGGUGAGGACCUGGGGGACAUGGGGGUGGGGUGGGCACCCCAAGAUGGGGGAUGAUGUGAGCAUUUGGGGGACACAGGGGUGAUGUGAGCACUCCAAGAUGGGGGAUGGUUUGAGGGCCUUGGGGACAUGGGGAUGGUGUGAGCACCCCAAGAUAGGGGAUGGUGUGAGCAUUCGGGGACAUGGGGGUGAUGUGAGCACCCCAAGAUCAUGGGGAUGGUGUGAGCACCCCAAGAAUGGUGAUGGUAUGAGCACCCCAAGGACAUGGGGAUGAUGUGAGCACCCCAAGAUGGGCGAUGGUGUGAGGACC